rnacentral:rRNA from 1 species
UACGUAGGCAGCGAGCGUUGUUCGGAGUUACUGGGCGUAAAGGGCGCGUAGGCGGCCUCUGCAAGUCGACUGUGAAAUCUCCGGGCUUAACCCGGAACGGUCAGCCGAUACUGCAGGGCUAGAGUGCAGAAGGGGCAACUGGAAUUCUCGGUGUAGCGGUGAAAUGCGUAGAUAUCGAGAGGAACACCUGCGGCGAAGGCGGGUUGCUGGGCUGACACUGACGCUGAAGUGCGAAAGCUAGGGGAGCGAACGGG